GUUAUAACGGUACUUCGACAUUGCUUAUUUUACUCAUUACUUCGCCACACCAACACGUCAUACUAGCUACAGCAAAAAAAGCUUCAGAGAACAUCUGUGUCUUUCAAUCCUCGUUAUACGACAAUCUCCUCGAAAAUCGCUUUAUCUUUCUUACGGCAGAUCGUAGCCGCGAAUUAAGCGAGUGCUGUUUAUUUGCUCGUAUCGACAGUAUUUUAGAGACAAAGAAGAGUCGAGCGCUCGGAACAGGGAUAAAUAGAGAAAGCGAAAGGGGUACAAGAGAGAGAGAAGACGAAAGGCCAAAGGCAGUGGUAGACUGGAUGGUGGGUGGGUUGUGCAUGGACUCGCGAGAUACGAGAAAUAAUGGUAGCACGUAUACGCGCGCUGCUUGUACACACAAGACCACAUGCACCGAGAGAAACUGACCACCGAACAGUUCCAAUGGGGCCUGCUCGCCACUCCGUCGGUAAUAGUCUCGACAAUAAUCAUUUAUUGUUCCUCAAUGGCGUCGACGCGCUGCCGGAGCUCAACUACCAGGAGUAGUAAGGGAGAAGAGAGAGAAAGAGAAGGGUAGCUAGGAUUUAAAGCCAACACCAAAGCCGCGCGAGUUCCGUGAAAGUUCUAUCGUGUUCCAUGAUGUUAAUGUUCAUUGAUAAUAGAACGAUUAUGAGGAAAUUAAAUAUAAUAGCUGCUAGGCCUAGUU
rnacentral:misc_RNA from 1 species